ensembl:snRNA U2 U2 spliceosomal RNA
AUCGCUUCUCGGCCUUUUGGCUAAGAUCAAGUGUAAAAAGUUAUGAUAGUUAAAAUAUCUUAGCACUCAUCUGCAAAUUGAAAAUAUGUAUCUUUUUGUUGUUUUAGGUAUAUGUGUUACAUGUACAUGUUACAUACUAUCCUAUCAUGCACAUGUAAAAAUAUGCUCAUAAGUAGUCUUGUGUUACCUGCC